GGUGUCAGAGCAGCAAAAAAUAUAUGUCUUGGUGUGCCGUAGAAUUGUAGUAAUUAGUGUAUGUGUACCAUGAGAUGGAAAGGUUGAAGACUGCUGGUUUGGACUAUGGCAUAGAUAGAGGUUUAUAUUCUCCUUUUUUCAUUUAAGUUUGCAUCUGUGAAAGUUUCUCACAUUGCUGAAGGAUUAUUAAUUCGUGAACAUUUCUGGCAGCCACUCCUUGCCAAGCCUGUCCUGGGUUUUGAGGGUUCAGAGCCGGCUCGGCGCCUGCCCCUGCCUCCCCGCUGGGGGAGCCCACAGUCCUCCAUAGCUGCCAGCAAUUCUUGAGGGGAUGUGUCAUCCUUUUCUGUAACUUUUGGUUUAGGUUU